rnacentral:rRNA from 1 species
GAUGAACGCUGGCGGCGUGCCUAAUACAUGCAAGUCGAGCGAACAGAUAAGGAGCUUGCUCCUUUGACGUUAGCGGCGGACGGGUGAGUAACACGUGGGUAACCUAUCUAUAAGACUGGAAUAACUCCGGGAAACUGGGGCUAAUGCCGGAUAACAUGUUGAACCGCAUGGUUCUAGAGUGAAAGGCGGCUUUGCUGUCACUUAUAGAUGGACCCGCGCCGUAUUAGCUAGUUGGUGAGGUAACGGCUCACCAAGGCAACGAUACGUAGCCGACCUGAGAGGGUGAUCGGCCACACUGGAACUGAGACACGGUCCAGACUCCUACGGGAGGCAGCAGUAGGGAAUCUUCCGCAAUGGGCGAAAGCCUGACGGAGCAACGCCGCGUGAGUGAUGAAGGUCUUCGGAUCGUAAAACUCUGUUAUUAGGGAAGAACAAAUGCGUAAGUAACUGUGCGCGUCUUGACGGUACCUAAUCAGAAAGCCACGGCUAACUACGUG